UAGGGAAUCUUCCACAAUGGACGCAAGUCUGAUGGAGCAACGCCGCGUGAGUGAAGAAGGUUUUCGGACCGUAAAGCUCUGUUGUUUGGUGAAGAAGGAUAGAGGUAGUAACUGGCCUUUAUUUGACGGUAAUCAACCAGAAAGUCACGGCUAACUACGUGCCAGCAGCCGCGGUAAUACGUAGGUGGCAAGCGUUGUCCGGAUUUAUUGGGCGUAAAGCGAGCGCAGGCGGAAGAAUAAGUCUGAUGUGAAAGCCCUCGGCUUAACCGAGGAAUUGCA
rnacentral:rRNA from 1 species